AGUGUUUCUCCGGACCUCGGCGACACCGCUGUGACGUUAGUCCAAGAUCAAAGAUAAGUGCAAGAUGGGGACGAAGGUCAGUGCACGAGUUUCUUCGUCGAACGUUCGGCUGGCUUCCGGCACGGAUAGCCCUGGCCCUUAUGGCUUGGCUGGGCUUCAUCAACCUCUACAUGACCAGAAUCAAUCUUUCCGUGAUCCUCGUGGCCAUGGUCAAGAGGAACACCUCUUCAGGUCACCUGGCGCCCUGUUUGGAAAGUCAGGAUGUAU